UGGUGGAGUGAUUUGUCUGGUUAAUUCCGUUAACGAACGAGACCUCGACCUGCUAAAUAGUCGGCGUCGCUCCUUUCGGGGCGGCGCUGCCGACUUCUUAGAGGGACUAUCGGUGUCUAGCCGAUGGAAGUUCGAGGCAAUAACA
rnacentral:rRNA from 1 species